rnacentral:rRNA from 1 species
UACGGGGGGGGCAAGCGUUGUUCGGAAUUACUGGGCGUAAAGGGUUCGUAGGUGGCCAAUUAAGUCAGACGUGAAAUCCCCUCAGCUUAACUGGGGAACUGCGUCUGAGACUGGAUGGCUUGAGUGCAGGAGAGGAACGCGGAAUUCCAGGUGUAGCGGUGAAAUGCGUAGAGAUGUGGAGGAACACCAGUGGCGAAGGCGGCUUUCUGGUCUGUAACUGACGCUGAGGCGCGAAAGCGUGGGGAGCAAACAGGG